CAGGAGGGUGUCCAAGCGUCUUAGAAGAAACUGUCCUUGGGCGGCGCGGUCAUGAUGAUUCUCGAUAUUUACCCCCUCGACAGUCAGAUAAUAACUGCCGAGAGUGUAAAAGGGCAAUUGAUGACCGUGAGAUUUCUUCGUCCAAAUCAGAGAUGAGGCCUACGAUAUCGGCCCAUCACUCAGAUACCUUCGAGCCCUUAGUAUGAACAAGGUCUGGUUCAUUCAAAUGAUAAGGCCGGGCUCCUUCCUAGCGCGCCUCAACCGGGCUGGCCCAUUCUCCAGUUCCGAAGGGGAGCCCCCUUUAGCCUAAUUUCGUCCCCUUCAUCCGGCCCAGUCUAGCCGGCCCAACCAGGAACCUAGAGUAAGACCCAUCCGUUCAUCUUGCUGACCCGCCCGUCCGUGUUCUGAAAGGAUCAGAGGCCGUUAUGCAUGGGGCAAAGAUCUGAUUCCUUCGUAUGUCCUUAUCAGCGUGGCAGGGACAGGUGGUCUACUGAUAUUCGUUCUAUCGGCACGUCACUAGCGGACAAAAGGAAACCUAUAAAAGGAGAAAUACUCUCUUCUAGGUUUAAGCUUUUUCUAAAUUUUACAGAG
rnacentral:lncRNA from 1 species